GCCCCGAGCCCGACAGCCGCAUAAAGCCUGCUGCUUUCACUGGCCCGGUGGGGGCCAGCAGGGUCAGGGCCCGCGGAAACCCUCAGCCUGGCGGGCCGGGAGGCCGCGGUGCUGCACUGGCUCGGCGCGCUCCCCGAGUGGCGCUCAGGCGGGGCGCGUUCAUUUCAUCUACAGACUGUCGGGAAGGCUUCCCGAACUCCUCCUCCCUGCCCGCCUUUGCGCAGGGCCGGACUCUUCGGAAACUGAAAUCACGGGCCGCCCGGCCCCCACCAGUCCUCGUGGGAUCCGGCCCGGGUUAACCUUCUAUGGGGAGGCCCAGGAGGGCCGGGCGGAGCGCCGGGGCGGGCGUGCGCUGACGUGGCGAGCGGCUCCCUCCACCCGCUCCUCCCGCGGGCACUGCCGAGGCCCAUGGGCGGGAAGCCGGGCGGCGGGCGGGACGUGGCCUCGGUCCCGGCCCUGCCCCGCCCCGCCGCCACUGAGACUCCCAGCGCCACCAACGUCGGAGUUGCAGUUUCUUUAGCUGUCAUAUGCAGACAAGUACUACCCACCUCGCCUUUGGAGUGAGCAGCAUAGGAAGGAAAUAUGGUUAUACUUUCCUUGCUAAGGAAAUCCAACCCUCCACAAGGCAGCUUUCUUCCCAUCCCCUUGACCUUUUAGGAAAAAGCCCUGUGCCCAUCCUGCUGUGAUUCAGGAGUCUCGCAGAAGACAUCAGAAUGCCUUUCUCUGAGUCACAGUCUGUAUCUUCUAGAAAAGGCUGUCCAUCUUCACCCCAAGCCCACUGGCUCCUGAGAUACGACAUCCAGACCCAGUGCAGCUGGACCUGGCCCAGGAAGAUCAUGCGGUUUCUGGGAAGCACUGGAGAAGGAAAAGGCUGAAGAAAGGAAGACCGGAAAAGAAAUACAAGUCCUUCCGCCUUGGCAAAGAUGAUAGUACCGUUCCCUUCAGUGUUCCGGUUCUGCUCUAUUGGAUAAGUUCCGGUUUGACUAUGACUACGUGAAAAUGUGGAACCAGACCUUCACCCCACAUUCCAGCUCCAGCUCUACCACAGAGGAAGUGCAAUAUCACCUUAGUUAUUCAACACAUUAUGCUCCUCGUGAUACAACCAGAGUUCACAUCAGCAAUCUUGGCAGCUCUCACCACGCUGCUGACUCACGACUCUCUCAUGUCCCAAUUUCCUGUCCAUUGUUCUUUCCUCUACUUGGCCUGAUUUCUAAAGGCCUCUCUUGGUUGCAUUAAGCGGGAUUCCUGAGGGAUUCCCUUGGCAGUUACCUUGGGGGAGCUCUUAGGUUUGGGGCUGAUCCAUGUCCUCUAAAUGUAGGACUUCAAAGCUCCCAAAGAUAGGCAGGCCCAGUGGGAAGCUGGGAAAUGCUCUCUGACCCCUCUGGGAGGGCUGGCAGUCAGAGGGCCUUUUGGAAAGAGUCAGACCUGAUCCAUAAGUCCCUGGAAAACACCCUGCCCAGGGAGCAAAUGCCACUGUGGCCUUGACUGAGGCUUCAGAAGAGUUUGGGAGCUGCAAUUCAUCCACACACGCAUUCAUUUUCAAGUAGUGGUUUGCAGUUCAGGCUUUGGAGCCACAUAAGCCUGGCUUCAAAGCCACUUUCCAGCUUUGUAGGAAGUCUCUACAUUUUUAAACCUCCAUUUUUUUUUCCUGUAAAACUGGGGUCUUCAUGGUACUUAACUUCAUCGUGAUGUUGAGAGAAUGAAAAGAAAAAGGAUAAAUAAAUGGCUUAGCCUCGUGCCUUGGCA